UACAGAGGUCCCAAGCGUUGUUCGGAUUCACUGGGCGUAAAGGGUGCGUAGGUGGUGAGGUAAGUCGGAUGUGAAAGCUCGGAGCUCAACUCCGAAAUGGCAUUGGAAACUACCUUGCUCGAGGGUUGGAGGGGGGACUGGAAUGCUUGGUGUAGCAGUGAAAUGCGUAGAGAUCCGGAGGAACACCGACGGCGUAGGCAGCGCCCUGGACGACACCUGACGCUGAGGCACGAAAGCUGGGGGAGCGAACAGG
rnacentral:rRNA from 1 species